GCGUGAGUGAUGAAGGCCCUAGGGUUGUAAAGCUCUUUUGUCAGGGAAGAUGAUGACGGUACCUGAAGAAUAAGCACCGGCUAACUUCGUGCCAGCAGCCGCGGUAAUACGAAGGGUGCUAGCGUUGUUCGGAAUUACUGGGCGUAAAGCGCGCGUAGGCGGCGAUACAAGUCAGGGGUGAAAUCCCGGGGCUCAACCCCGGAAUUGCCUUUGAAACUGUAUUGCUUGAGUGUCGGAGGGGAUAGCGGAAUUCCUAAUGUAGAGGUGAAAUUCGU
rnacentral:rRNA from 1 species